rnacentral:lncRNA from 1 species
UCAUUUUUUACUGGAAAUGCUUAGUUUGGAUGUCAAUUUACAACCACAAUCCUUUGUCUUGAAACUUAGUUUUUAAUGGCAUUGAGUAUAUCCUGGUGCUUAAAAAAUUAAUUUAUGGCUACUACUUCAUGAAGUGUAAUUUGACCUAUCAAUUUUUGAAGAUAAGGUAAUUUGGUAUUGUAUGGAUUUAUAUCAGUUUGUGUGUGAUUUUUCUAACCCAACCUAAUCUACCAAGAUGAUAGCAUAGUUGGUUUUUAGAUAGUGUACAACCAUCAUAGUAAUUUUAGUAAAUUCAUUAUUCUUUAAUAUAAUAAUAUUAUAAUUAUAUAGCUCACUGAGGGUCACUGUUUUUUUAUAUUAACAAUUAUAUCAUAAAUGCAUAAUUUAUAAAGGUUACAUUAAUUUUCAGAUGUCUAUUUUGUUUUACAUUUUAAUUAACAGAUUUCUAAUUUAAAAUAUUAUAUAUUUUAACACUUACAUAAUAUUCAUUAUCAUAAUAUUGCAUAUAUAUAUAUAGAUACUGAUUCAAAAGUCUAAAUGUUCUUCAUUAGGUAUUAAAUAUUUAAAUUUUUCCAUCACGCAUUCAUAAUAAAUACUUUAGGCUGAUUCAUGUUCUAUUAAUCAAGCUGGGUUUCAGAAUCCAGUUUACUCUUUAAUUUUUUUGGGAAAAUGUUGGAGUCCUAACAAUUCAGAAUGCUAAAUUAUCAGAUUAUCAGAAUAUUUUUUAUCUUAGAACUCUUUAUUUUCUUGCACCAGCUGUCUGAUAAAUAAUUGUUCUGUUAUUUUGUUUUUCAGCACAUCUAUUUUCUAACAAAAAUCAUUAUAAUUAUUUAUGAGCCAUUAAACAUUUUGUCUUUUGGUAUUUAAUCUCUUAAAAAAUUGUUUUACAUAAUAUUAUUUUUAAACAAUUAUAUCUUAAUUUGUCUACUACUUUGUGCAAAGGAUAUUUAAGCAUCAAAUCAGUUUGGGUCACAGUAGUAAUAUACUUGUAUUUACACCACUUACUCAAAUAGACAUCUAUUCUAAAUCUAUUUUCUAGAAUAAAACUCCAGUAGUGCAUAUUCACUAAUAUUUGUCAAUAUAAGUUGAAUUAUAAUAAUGAUAAUUUAAUAAUCCAGUCUUGGACAAAAUAAAAUAAUUUUAUUUCUGAAUUUCUUAGGGCAACUGGAACAAAUUGUUAUUGUCAUUGGGUUACUAAGUAUAAACUUAAGCAGCAGGCUGCAAAUUAUGCAUGGACAUAAGUCCUUCAUAUGUCUAUAAUAUCAUUUCAUGACCAUAUUGGGAUCUAACUUAUCUAUUCAGAACUAUUAUCAUUUUUAAUAUUUCCUGCAGCAUAGUAUUAUAUACUAUACACAAUAUGUAUUUACACACCUUACAAAAAUAUACAUUAUAUAGUAUAAUUUGAUGUAACUUAUGUAAAUGGUACACUUAAAAGAAUUAUUCAAAACAAUUUUGUUCUUCAGAAUAGUUCUUCAAUUCUCAAAGAAUAAUUUGGACUUUUUACCAAAUACCCAUGGAGAUAGUAAAUAAUUUGUGUGACAAAAACAGCACAAAUAACAAAGUACUACAAGUAUUCAAAUGUAAAUUGAAAAGCAUAAAACUAAAAUUGUAUAUAAUUUAAUUAUCUUAUUCAAUUGAUUUAUAUAUAAUAAUCAAAUUAUUCAUUUGAAUAAUAAAUAUUUUAACUUAUUUUUUGUUAUUAAUAAUUGUUAAUCCAUUUAUACUGUACCAAAUCGACUAAUUUAAAAAUAUGUAUUAUAUAAAAAAAAAAACUUAAUUAAAAUGUUAUAAUUCAUAGUUUCUAUGAUAUUGAAUAAUUUGAUGAGUUAAAUUUUAUCGAGGAAAAUGUCCUCUGUAUAGAUUAUUCAUAAUAUUAUAAAUAAGUAGGUAAUUUAGUUAAGACAGAAAUUAAGGAACAAUUACAAACAUGGCUUGUACAAAUGUAUAAUAGAAAAAAAAAAACAAUAUUGUACACUAUCAUUACUAUUUGGUAUUAUAUCAGCUUAAGUUACAUUAGUUCAACAUAGUAGUACAUUAGGUAUUUAUAAACUAACAAUACUUAGCAUAUCAAUAUUCUUAUGUUUACAAAUUAAAUAGAUUUUUGUUUUAAAAACUUUUGUAAAAUUGUAAUUAUAAUUUAAUUAUUUUUAUAGGAGUACCACCUGCUUGGUGGUCCUGGAGAAGUUUUUGGACAUUAUUCAGUUCCUGAUUCCAUUAAUAUCAUAUUGCUAUAUUAAAGCAGAUGAAGCUUCAUACUACUACCAAAUGUAAUGUUGCCUUACCUUGUUUGAGUUAAGGGUAAUAACCUAACCUAACUUAACCUUGUUGUCUUUAGUAGACUUACACUUAAACAUCAUUUCUCUUGAAAUUGCUAAUUUAAUCAGCUAAUUCAAUGUUUAAUUUUUUUGGUCCAGUAACCUAACAGACUAAUUUAAAAUUAUGUGGUAUAAAAAAAAAAAAAAACAAACAAAUUAAAAUAUUAUAAUUCUUAGUUUCUAUGAAAUAGUUUCUUAAAUACUAUUGAAAGAAAAAAGAAAAAAUAUGAACAAAUGUUAUAUUAUUGAUUACUUUGAUUUAAGUUCCUAAAAUGUGAUUUAUUAUUUUGUUUCAAUUUUAUUAAUAAUAAUAAUAACUUUAUUCACUUUUUUAAAGAAGUUUUCCACAUUAAUUGCUUUUUAUUAUUUUAAUUAAGUGACUACUUUGCAAAUAAGAAAGCUUUGUUUUAAUAGAAAUAUUAUUUCAGAUUGAGCACAUAAAUGAGAUGACCAGCCGAUUCAUUUAAAGUAGAUCUUUAAAUAAAAUAUUCAAAUAUACUAAAAGAAGAUAAGAAAAAUAAUGAAAUGGAA